rnacentral:rRNA from 1 species
CCUACGGGAGGCAGCAGUGAGGAAUAUUGGUCAAUGGUCGCGAGACUGAACCAGCCAAGCCGCGUGAGGGAUGAAGGUCCAGAGUAUUGUAAACCUCUUUUGUCAGGGAACAAAGGCGGGGACGUGUCCCCGGAUGAGUGUACCUGAAGAAAAAGCAUCGGCUAACUCCGUGCCAGCAGCCGCGGUAAUACGGAGGAUGCGAGCGUUAUCCGGAUUUAUUGGGUUUAAAGGGUGCGUAGGGGGUAUGUUAAGUCAGUGGUAAAAGUCCGGGGCUCAACCCCGGCCCGCCGUUGAAACUGGCAGUCUUGAGUAGGAGAGAAGUAGGCGGAAUGCGCGGUGUAGCGGUGAAAUGCAUAGAUAUCGCGCAGAACUCCGAUUGCGAAGGCAGCAUACCGGC